rnacentral:rRNA from 1 species
GGCAGGCCUAACACAUGCAAGUCGAACGGUAACAGGGAGCAGCUUGCUGCUCUGCUGACGAGUGGCGGACGGGUGAGUAAUGUCUGGGGAUCUGCCCGAUGGAGGGGGAUAACCACUGGAAACGGUGGCUAAUACCGCAUAACGUCGCAAGACCAAAGUGGGGGACCUUCGGGCCUCACACCAUCGGAUGAACCCAGAUGGGAUUAGCUAGUAGGUGGGGUAACGGCUCACCUAGGCGACGAUCCCUAGCUGGUCUGAGAGGAUGACCAGCCACACUGGAACUGAGACACGGUCCAGACUCCUACGGGAGGCAGCAGUGGGGAAUAUUGCACAAUGGGCGCAAGCCUGAUGCAGCCAUGCCGCGUGUAUGAAGAAGGCCUUCGGGUUGUAAAGUACUUUCAGCGGGGAGGAAGGGAGCAAGGUUAAUAACCUGGUUCAUUGACGUUACCCGCAGAAGAAGCACCGGCUAACUCCGUGCCAGCAGCCGCGGUAAUACGGAGGGUGCAAGCGUUAAUCGGAAUUACUGGGCGUAAAGCGCACGCAGGCGGUCUGUCAAGUCGGAUGUGAAAUCCCCGGGCUCAACCCGGGAACUGCAUUCGAAACUGGCAGGCUAGAGUCUCGUAGAGGGGGGUAGAAUUCCAGGUGUAGCGGUGAAAUGCGUAGAGAUCUGGAGGAAAUACCGGUGGCGAAGGCGGCCCCCUGGACAAAGACUGACGUCUCAGGUCCAAAAGCGUGGGGAGAAAACGGAUUAAGAAUCCCCGGGAGGCCCACGCCGAAAACGAUGUCGAUUUGGAGGCUGUAAGCUUGAUUCGUGCUUCCGGAGUUAACGCGUUAAGUCGACCGCCUGGGGAGUCCGGCCGCAAGGUUAAAAUUCAAAUGAAUUGACGGGGGCCCGCCAAAGGGUGGAGCAUGUGGUUUAAUUCGA